GCGGCCGCGGAGGAGCUGCUGGCCCGGGCGGGCCGCGAUGGCAGCUUCCUGGUCCGAGACAGCGAGAGCGUGGCGGGGGCCUUCGCGCUCUGCGUCCUGUAUCAGAAGCAUGUGCACACGUAUCGCAUUCUGCCUGAUGGAGAAGAUUUCUUGGCUGUGCAGACCUCGCAGGGUGUGCCUGUGCGCCGCUUCCAGACCCUGGGUGAGCUCAUCGGCCUGUACGCCCAGCCCAACCAGGGCCUUGUGUGCGCCCUGCUUCUUCCUGUAGAGGGUGAGCGAGAGCCGGACCCACCGGAUGACCGGGAUGCCUCAGAUGGGGAGGAUGAGAAGCCCCCGCUGCCCCCGCGCUCUGGCUCCACCAGCAUUUCUGCCCCCACUGGGCCCAGCAGUCCCCUGCCAGCUCCUGAGACUCCCACAGCUCCAGCUGCUGAGAGGUGAGACCCCCAUCCCAUCCACUGAACAGGAGACCCUUUCUCCUCUGAGAACUAUUUCCCUACCAAAGGUGGGGAGGCCUUCUAAGACCCCACCAGGGACCCCCACCCCACCUCAGCCCAGAGGCAGAUAACCUGAUCCAUCCCGCCCUGGUUGCCACAGGUACUAUCUCCUCUAGGGAUGGGGCAGAGGUGCUGGGACAGGUCAGCAGGACCUCCACUGACUUCUUAACCCCUCCCCAAAGUGCUCCCAAUGGGCUGAGCACCGUCUCGCACGACUACCUGAAAGGCAGCUAUGGGCUGGACCUGGAAGCUGUGAGGGGUGGAGCCAGCCACCUGCCCCACCUCACCCGUACCCUCGCUACCUCAUGCCGGAGGCUGCACAGUGAGGUGGACAAGGUCCUGUCAGGCCUGGAGAUCCUGUCCAAGGUGUUUGACCAGCAGAGCUCGCCCAUGGUGACCCGCCUUUUGCAGCAGCAGAACCUGCCACAGACAGGGGAGCAGGAACUAGAGAGCCUGGUGCUGAAGCUGUCAGUGCUAAAGGACUUCCUGUC
rnacentral:lncRNA from 1 species